rnacentral:misc_RNA from 1 species
GAUGAAGAACGUAGCGAAAUGCGAUAAGUAAUGUGAAUUGCAGAAUUCAGUGAACCAUCGAAUCUUUGAACGCACAUUGCGCCCGGCAGUAAUCUGCCGGGCAUGCCUGUCCGAGCGUCAUUUCUACCCUCGAGCGAGUCCAGCAUCUAGGUGCUGGGCCUCGCCCGGCGUUGGAGCACUACGGGAAGCCCUGUGCUGUCCCCCGUAGGCCCCGAAAUGAAGUGGCGGUCCUGCCGCGGCGCCCCCUGCGUAGUAUUACAGCUCGCAUCGGGUCCCGGUGGAGGCCAGCCGUCAAACCUUACUUUCUAAGUUUGACCUCGGAUCAGGUAGGGUUACCCGCUGAACUUAAGCAUAUCAAUAAGCGGAGGA